AGCAUCACUCCUUCAGACGUGGGAGAUAUAAUAUUAGAUGGGAGUCGGCACCCUUGUGUUGAAGCUCAGGAUUGGGUGAAUUUUAUCCCGAAUGACUGUAAACUAGUUAGGGAAAAAAGCUGGUUCCAAAUCAUUACAGGGCCUAAUAUGGGUGGAAAAUCCACCUACAUACGGCAGGUAUGCUGCUUCAAUUUAGUUGAAUAUUCAAUUUUUCCUAUCAAAUUUACAAACCCAGAACAGCAGUUUUGAUGUUCGUAAGUAGAAUAAUCCUUUUGCAGUGUAGAUGAGAAUUAUCAAGGAUUGGGCAGAGUGUGGUUGCAGAUUAAGUUUUAGGGUUUAAUUUCAUUUAGAUUGAUUAUAUCAGAGUUUCAUAUAUCCUAUCCUUUCCUCUUUUUAUCUUAGCCUUCUUUCUCCUUUUCAUCGUUUUAGCUUAUCUGUCUUAUAAAUUUUUUCUAUUAGUCUCUCAUUCUCUAACGAUAUUGUGUCAGUCCUAUUUGUCGAAAGUAUCAUAUGCAUUGAUUAUGAACUUGACAUGAGUGAAGCCAGGAUUUUGCUAUCAUGGAAUACCAAGUACAGGGUUUAUUUCUCAUCCUAGAUGUUUAAGCUAUGAUUUUAAGAUGGUUGGAUUUGUUUAACAUGUAUUUAGAAAGUCCAUGUUUAUGAAUUUUAUACAGAACAGAUUUGAUUUUUAUUUAGUCCUUUCAAUACAAGGUUGAGCUGCAUUUGGUUUCAAUUCAAUUGAGAGACUAAGCAUCUUUUAAUUGUUAUCUUCCCCAUCUUCAUUUUCCUUGUAGGAAAUCAAAUAUCCAUUGCUUUUAGGUUAAAUCUGAACCAGCAACGUUUUCAGACUUCAUUUGUAUAUUAAGACAGUUUUUGCUUAGGAGAAAAUAAGCAUCACUGAGUAACAUGUUUUUAC